GGCAGGAGGAGUGAUGGAGGACAGCGUGGAGGAGGAAUGGUGUCACAGUGAACCCCUCCCUGUUGCUCCCAACCCUCCAACCAUCCCCACUCCCUGUGAAAAUGUAUUCAGUGACGUAAUACAAGUAUCACAAUGCCAAAACACCAUGAAAACUACAACAAAAUAAAGGACAUUAAUCAUGGCUGCUUCUGUCUUUUGGGGGCCCCUAUUUUCUCAGACUAUAAUGGAUGGAUUCCUAACUCUUUGAGAUGAUCCACAAAGAUGCAACAAUCUAUUGCAUUAAGAUGAAAACUUAUUGUAUAUGUGUAUUGUAACACGUGUUUUUCUUCUAUAGAAAAGUCUCUGUUGUGUUCGCAUGGGUGUAAAUUGUGUAUGUCUUUUUUUUCCUACUCACUAAACAAACUGCUGUGUUGUGGAUUCAUGAUUAAUGACAAUCAUUAAACUGUAAUGUUUUAUUGA